AUCUCCAAGAACAGAUUUAAAAAGUCUGUCCUGAAGUAGUAAUCCAGUAGUUUAACUCCCUUGAACUUGGAUUUGUUAACCAAAAUAACCAAUUAUUUUCGUUAUAUUUCUAUCCACCUUGAUGUUCUCCCAGUCCCAAGUUCUGGCCAAUGGCUAUAGCUUGUCAUCCGAUUACGGCAUAUGUAACUUGAUAAUCAAGCAGUUGUCUUUUUUCUUUUUGGAUAUUAUAUUUAGUUCCUCUGAUGCUACUUCACCAUGUAUAUUUGAAAGAAUCCCUUAUCCAUGAUGCUGAAGAAAU
rnacentral:lncRNA from 1 species